rnacentral:rRNA from 1 species
UAAAGAAUUUGGGUAUGGGAUGGGGAUGCGUUCCAUUAGUUAGUUGGCGGGGUAACGGCCCACCAAGACAACGAUGGAUAGGGGUUCUGAGAGGAAGGUCCCCCACAUUGGAACUGAGACACGGUCCAAACUCCUACGGGAGGCAGCAGUGAGGAAUAUUGGUCAAUGGACGAGAGUCUGAACCAGCCAAGUAGCGUGAAGGAUGACUGCCCUAUGGGUUGUAAACUUCUUUUAUAUGGGAAUAAAAUGUUCCACGUGUGGGAUUUUGUAUGUACCAUAUGAAUAAGGAUCGGCUAACUCCGUGCCAGCAGCCGCGGUAAUACGGAGGAUCCGAGCGUUAUCCGGAUUUAUUGGGUUUAAAGGGAGCGUAGGUGGAUUGUUAAGUCAGUUGUGAAAGUUUGCGGCUCAACCGUAAAAUUGCAGUUGAAACUGGCAGUCUUGAGUACAGUAGAGGUGGGCGGAAUUCGUGGUGUAGCGGUGAAAUGCUUAGAUAUCACGAAGAACUCCGAUUGCGAAGGCAGCUCACUGGACUGCAACUGACACUGAGGCUCGAAAGUGUGGGUAUCAAACAGGAUUAGAUACCCUGGUAGUCCACACAGUAAACGAUGAAUACUCGCUGUUUGCGAUAUACAGCAA